rnacentral:rRNA from 1 species
UACGUAGGGGGCAAGCGUUGUCCGGAAUUACUGGGCGUAAAGGGCUCGUAGGCGGCCAACUAAGUCAGACGUGAAAUCCCUCGGCUUAACCGGGGAACUGCGUCUGAUACUGGAUGGCUGGAGUUUGGGAGAGGGAUGCGGAAUUCCAGGUGUAGCGGUGAAAUGCGUAGAUAUCUGGAGGAACACCGGUGGCGAAGGCGGCAUCCUGGACCAAUACUGACGCUGAGGAGCGAAAGCCAGGGGAGCAAACGGG